CUUGGAAUCAAGCUUCCAGUCCGGAACUGACUGCCUGGAACUCCAUUGCUCUCGGGUACUCAUCUUCAACAUCUUAUGUUUCCCGAGAAGAUACCACAUCUGUCUGAGGAACAAAUAAGGCAAGUGAGAAGGAUACAAGGAAGCAUGUGGAGACAAGCGUAACAGAACACACGUGCCGAUACAUUCACUACUUUGUCAACAGCAAAAGUAUCCCAUAUCAGCAGGGUCGAA
rnacentral:lncRNA from 1 species